rnacentral:rRNA from 1 species
GAUGAACGCUAGCUACAGGCUUAACACAUGCAAGUCGAGGGACGGGCGCACGGGUGAGUAACACGUAUCUAACCUGCCCUUUACUCGGGGAUAGCGUUACGAAAGAAAGACUAAUACCCUAUAUAAAGCAUGGGGAUGCGUUCCAUUAGGUUGUUGGUGAGGUAAAGGCUAACCAAGCCUUCGAUGGAUAGGGGUUCUGAGAGGAAGGAACCCGAGAUUUGAGCUGAGACCCAGACCAAACUCGUACGGGAGACAGCAGUGAGGUGUAUUGGGCAAUGGACGGUAACGUGAACCAGCCAAGUGUCGUAAAGGAUGAAGGCUUGUGAGUCGUAAACUUCUUUUGUAUAAGAAUAUGUAUUAUAUGAAUAAGGAUCGGCUAACUCCGUGCCAGCAACCGCGGUAAUAC